rnacentral:rRNA from 1 species
UGCGGGGGGUGCAAGCGUUGUUCGGAAUCAUUGGGCGUAAAGGGCGUGUAGGCGGCCGGGUAAGUCAGAUGUGAAAUCCCUGGGCUUAACCCAGGAAGUGCAUUUGAAACUGUCCGGCUCGAGUAGGGGAGAGGAAAGUGGAAUUCCUGGUGUAGAGGUGAAAUUCGUAGAUAUCAGGAGGAACACCGGUGGCGAAGGCGACUUUCUGGCCCUAUACUGACGCUGAGACGCGAAAGCGUGGGUAG